rnacentral:rRNA from 1 species
GAUGAACGCUGGCGGCGUGCCUAAUACAUGCAAGUCGAGCGAACGGACGAGAAGCUUGCUUCUCUGAUGUUAGCGGCGGACGGGUGAGUAACACGUGGAUAACCUACCUAUAAGACUGGGAUAACUUCGGGAAACCGUAGCUAAUACCGGAUAAUAUUUUGAACCGCAUGGUUCAAAAGUGAAAGACGGUCUUGCUGUCACUUAUAGAUGGAUCCGCGCUGCAUUAGCUAGUUGGUAAGGUAACGGCUUACCAAGGCAACGAUGCAUAGCCGACCUAAGAGGGUGAUCGGCCACACUGGAACUGAGACGCGGUCCAGACUCCUACGGGAGGCAGCAGUAGGGAAUCUUCCGCAAAGGGCGAAAGCCUGACGGAGCAACGCCGCGUGAGUGAUGAAGGUCUUCGGAUCGUAAAACUCUGUUAUUAGGGAAGAACAUAUGUGUAAGUAACUGUGCACAUCUUGACGGUACCUAAUCAGAAAGCCACGGCUAACUACGUG